rnacentral:rRNA from 1 species
CAGCCGCCGCGGUAAUGCGAAGGGUGCAAGCGUUACUCGGAAUUACUGGGCGUAAAGCGUGCGUAGGUGGUGGUUUAAGUCCGUUGUGAAAGCCCUGGGCUCAACCUGGGAAUUGCAGUGGAUACUGGGUCACUAGAGUGUGGUAGAGGAUAGUGGAAUUUCCGGUGUAGCGGUGAAAUGCGUAGAGAUCGGGAGGAACAUCAGUGGCGAAGGCGGCCAUCUGGGACAACACUGACGCUGAGGCACGAAAGCGUGGGGAGCAAACAGGAUUAGAUACCCGGGUAGUCCCUGUCUCUUAUAC